AGCAACUAAGCUAUGUAAACAGUCGACUACUAACAAACAGAAAUUAAAACUCGGAAUUAAACUGAAGUUAGUAAUCAACAAACCUUCAUCGAGAUCUUGGGCUUCUGAGGUCUGCUAGCGCCCCAGAGAAUCAAGGAGAACAUAGAGAAGAGAAGGAUGAACGCAAGCACAAAGGCAAGGAAAUAGCAACGGCGAGGGAUUCCUCUCUCCCGAUCUUCAUCCUCGAGAAGACCUUCUUCCUCAAUCACAUCGCAGUCCUUCCAUUGCUUCUCAUUCCCGUUCCUGUGUCCACCGCCGCCCG
rnacentral:lncRNA from 1 species